GUGAAUCAUCGAAUUUUUGAACGCAAAUUGCACUCCCUGGUAUUCCGGGGAGUAUGCCUGUUUGAGGGUCGUUAGUAGAAAAAUCGAAGCAUAGCUAUUUUUUUUGAGGGUGAUCGCGUCGGAAUUGAGUCGACUUUCUUAUGUUAAUUCAUGUAAAUGUGCCUUAAAAUUGAUCCAUUCGGUAUG
rnacentral:misc_RNA from 1 species